UGGGGAAUAUUGCACAAUGGGCGCAGGCCUGAUGCAGCCAUGCCGCGUGUAUGAAGAAGGCCUUCGGGUUGUAAAGUACUUUCAGCGGGGAGGAAGGGAGUAAAGUUAAUACCUUUGCUCAUUGACGUUACCCGCAGAAGAAGCACCGGCUAACUCCGUGCCAGCAGCCGCGGUAAUACGGAGGGUGCAAGCGUUAAUCGGAAUUACUGGGCGUAAAGCGCACGCAGGCGGUUUGUUAAGUCAGAUGUGAAAUCCCCGGGCUCAACCUGGGAACUGCAUCUGAUACUGGCAAGCUUGAGUCUCGUAGAGGGGGGUAGAAUUCCAGGUGUAGCGGUGAAAUGCGUAGAGAUCUGGAGGAAUACCGGUGGCGAAGGCGGCCCCCUGGACAAAGACUGACGCUCAGGUGCGAAAGCGUGGGGAGCAAACAGG
rnacentral:rRNA from 1 species